rnacentral:tRNA from 4 species
UCUACCAAAGGAUAGUAGCUCUCCAUUGGUCUUAGGCACCAAAACUCUUGGUGCAAAUCCAAGUGGUAGAA